AUUGAACGCUGGCGGCAUGCUUUACACAUGCAAGUCGAACGGUAACAGGCCUUCGGGUGCUGACGAGUGGCGCACGGGUGCGUAAUGCAUCGGAACGUACCCCGGGGUGGGGGAUAACGCAGCGAAAGCUGUGCUAAUACCGCAUGUGAUCUGAGGAUGAAAGCGGGGGACCGAGCAGCAAUGUUUGGCCUCGCGCCUUUGGAGCGGCCGAUGUCGGAUUAGCUAGUUGGUGGGGUAAAGGCCUACCAAGGCGACGAUCCGUAGCUGGUCUGAGAGGACGACCAGCCACACUGGGACUGAGACACGGCCCAGACUCCUACGGGAGGCAGCAGUGGGGAAUUUUGGGCAAUGGGCGCAAGCCUGAUCCAGCAAUGCCGCGUGCGGGAAGAAGGCCUUCGGGUUGUAAACCGCUUUUGGCAGGAACGAAACGGUGUCCGCUAAUACCGGGCGCUAAUGACGGUACCUGCAGAAUAAGCACCGGCUAACUACGUG
rnacentral:rRNA from 1 species